UACGUAGGGUGCAAGCGUUGUCCGGAAUCAUUGGGCGUAAAGGGUGCGUAGGCGGCGCGGUAAGUCGGGUGUGAAAUCUCGGAGCUUAACUCCGAAACUGCAUUCGAUACUGCCGUGCUUGAGGACUGGAGAGGAGACUGGAAUUUACGGUGUAGCGGUGAAAUGCGUAGAUAUCGUAAGGAAGACCAGUGGCGAAGGCGGGUCUCUGGACAGUUCCUGACGCUGAGGCACGAAGGCCAGGGGAGCAAACGGG
rnacentral:rRNA from 1 species